UAUUCUACCCUACGGGGAAGGAUGAGAAGCUUCGACUAAGGUUCGACUCGAGCGCCAGCGAGAGAACGUUGCCGCAGGCAACGGCCCGAAGGGCGAGGAGCGAUAGCGACGAGUUAUCCUUCCCCCACCACCA
rnacentral:sRNA from 5 species